UAAUUUUACCUCGAUUUUGGUGCCGCACUUUCCAUUUUCGGAAAACGGUGAAAAGGGAAUCAGGUGAAAAUCCUGAACAGACCCGCUGCUGUAAGCUCCGCCAAAGUCUUUGAACAAUACUCAAUUCCACUGUUUGUCAGUUGACGAACGGGAAGGGCGUUUCAAAGAUGGAGUAAGUCAGAAGACCUGCCAGAAUAGUUAGUUAGAG
rnacentral:ncRNA from 1 species